UUGAAAAUUCGAUUUUAGAAA
rnacentral:piRNA from 1 species